AGAGUUUGAUCCUGGCUCAGAGCGAACGCUGGCGGCAGGCCUAACACAUGCAAGUCGAACGGAUCCUUCGGGAUUAGUGGCGGACGGGUGAGUAACACGUGGGAACGUGCCCUUUGGUUCGGAACAACUCAGGGAAACUUGAGCUAAUACCGGAUGUGCCCUUCGGGGGAAAGAUUUAUCGCCAUUGGAGCGGCCCGCGUAGGAUUAGCUAGUUGGUGAGGUAAAGGCUCACCAAGGCUACGAUCCUUAGCUGGUCUGAGAGGAUGAUCAGCCACAUUGGGACUGAGACACGGCCCAAACUCCUACGGGAGGCAGCAGUGGGGAAUCUUGCGCAAUGGGCGAAAGCCUGACGCAGCCAUGCCGCGUGAAUGAUGAAGGUCUUAGGAUUGUAAAAUUCUUUCACCGGGGACGAUAAUGACGGUACCCGGAGAAGAAGCCCCGGCUAACUUCGUGCCAGCAGCCGCGGUAAUACGAAGGGGGCUAGCGUUGCUCGGAAUUACUGGGCGUAAAGGGAGCGUAGGCGGAUAGUUUAGUCAGAGGUGAAAGCCCAGGGCUCAACCUUGGAAUUGCCUUUGAUACUGGCUAUCUUGAGUACGGAAGAGGUAUGUGGAACUCCGAGUGUAGAGGUGAAAUUCGUAGAUAUUCGGAAGAACACCAGUGGCGAAGGCGACAUACUGGUCCGUUACUGACGCUGAGGCUCGAAAGUGUGGGGAGCAAACAGGAUUAGAUACCCUGGUAGUCCACGCUGUAAACGAUGAGUGCUAGUUGUCGGCAGGCAUGCCUGUCGGUGACGCAGCUAACGCAUUAAGCACUCCGCCUGGGGAGUACGGUCGCAAGAUUAAAACUCAAAGGAAUUGACGGGGGCCCGCACAAGCGGUGGAGCAUGUGGGUUUAAUUCGAAGCAACGCGCAGAACCUUACCACCUUUGGACAUGCCCGGACCGCCCCAGAGAUGAGGCUUUCCCUUCGGAGACUGGGACACAGGUGCUGCAUGGCUGUCGUCAGCUCGUGUCGUGAGAUGUUGGGUUAAGUCCCGCAACGAGCGCAACCCUCGCUAUUAGUUGCCAUCAGGUUUGGCUGGGCACUCUAAUAGUACUGCCGAAGUUAAUUCGGAGGAAGGUGGGGAUGACGUCAAGUCCUCAUGGCCCUUACAAGGUGGGCUACACACGUGCUACAAUGGCGACUACAGAGGGCUGCAAUCCCGCGAGGGGGAGCCAAUCCCUAAAAGUCGUCUCAGUUCGGAUUGCACUCUGCAACUCGAGUGCAUGAAGUUGGAAUCGCUAGUAAUCGCGGAUCAGCAUGCCGCGGUGAAUACGUUCCCGGGCCUUGUACACACCGCCCGUCACACCAUGGGAGUUGGCUUUAUCCGAAGGCGCUGCGCUAACUCGCAAGAGAGGCAGGCGACCACGGUAGGGUCAGCGACUGGGGUGAAGUCGUAACAAGGUA
rnacentral:rRNA from 1 species